GGUCUCGGAAGCGUUGUCGGCCGGGGGUUUCGGCGUCGACACCACUGUGGUGACGGUCGUGUCCGCAGGCACGUCGGGUUCGAAGCCCGACGACAGCGC
rnacentral:tRNA from 1 species